rnacentral:lncRNA from 1 species
GCGUGCGACGCAGGAGGGCGCGCGGGCGCAGGAGGGCGCGCGGGCAUGCGGGCGCGUGCGGGUCGCGAAGCGGGUCAAAACCGGGUUUUCGGGUCUGUGACCUUCUUUUCUUCAUUUUUUUCAAUUCUCUCACCCGGUUGAACAAUUACAGCCUAGCUUCAACUCUAAUGACUUUUUUUAUUUUUUUAAAAAUUACAAACACUUUGCAACAAUAAAAAUAAGCCAUUAACAAGGCUAAUUACAAUAAUUAGAACAAAAACACUUAAUCUAGAGCCAAAAUCAUAAUAUAUCCAUUUUAGUUCAAACCAAAAUUUAUCUAAUAAAUAUGAACCCACCACAUGCAAUUGGGUAAAAAUGAAGCAUGCUCUGAUACCACAUGAUAGAACUAAGUCAUGCACAGCGGAAAAAGAAUCGAAUUUCUACCCUAAUUGCCACAAUUAACAUGUAACCAUAAACUAAUCAAAUUAGGGUUUUAAGAAGUAUUACCUUUGAAGCUUUCAAAAGGUUUGAUGUCUUCUUACCAAUUCUACCCGAGACCACCACUAGUACUCAACUGCUAUCCUCUAGACAAAGAACCGGGUUGUGGGACCCAAUUUUGGUGUAGAAAGUAAUGGAGAUAAAAUGAGAUUGGAAGCUUUCUUUUUUCUUUUGUUGAGAUUAUGAAAAUGAUAAAAGAGGCAAAAGUCCUUCAACAUUUGAAAACAUCUCUAUUUAUAGCCUAAUUACAUGCAAAAAUGCAUGCAAUUCAAUUGCCAAAUCUCAACACCUAAUAUUCCACUAACAAUUAGUGGAACUUAGUGGGCUAGGUGUCUAUAUCUCAUAUAGCCACAUAUCCCACUAAGAGUUAGUGGGAUUAUCCAACAAAAUGUUGGAUUUUCCCACUAACUUAGUCCAAGGGUAAAAUGGUCAUUAGAUUUUUCUAGUCAAAAGUCAAACUUUGACUUUUCUAAGUCAAAAGUCAAUAUUUUGACUUUUUACCAUUUUGUCCGUCUUGACUAAUUCCAACCUCCCGAGCAUGAAUCCGCAUUCAUUUUUCCAAAAUUCAAAUCACAUUUGAAUAUAAGGCCGGUCAAAGUUUGACUUUUCAAAGUCAAAAGUCAACAUUUUGACUUUUUACUAUUUUUGACCAAUUCCGAGCUUCUUAGUAUGAAUCCGCAUUCAUACUUAUAGUAUGUAAAACAUAAAGCUCUAUUUCUAAUUAGAAGACCGACGAUUAUAUCACUGUAUAUGUCGGUUUUCCUCUUCUCCCUAUUCGAACAAUUCGACUUAUUUCAUCACACUGUUCUAAGUUUAAUCCAUAUGAGCUAGCAGAGGAACCUAAUGGACCUAUAGAUCAUGGGCUCCAACGAUUCAAGAUUAACUAGCUAAACUCUUUUAAACCGAGUUAAUCAACAUUCGUUAACUAACGGGUCAUUCCACUAAAGUCCCGUAGUUGCACUCCCCUCACUAUAGAUAUAUUUGUGUCCAUUUGAUAAAACCAUAAUCAGUAAGUUAAUCCUUCACAGGUUGCUCGUAACCUUGGCUGGGUCAAAAUACCGUUUUACCCCCAAGAUUACAUCUUGCUCCUUAAGUCCCACUAAUCCACUAUUGAACAAUUGGUUUAAGGUUCAACCUAUAAACUUAAUCCCUCUCGGGCCAAUGAGAGGGUGGGGCCCCUUGUUCAAGACUUGGAUUCAGUGCUUAAGAGAGCAACCUAUCUACUAACCCUAAAGCGGGUAGGAGUGAAUUCCAUCUUGUACCCUAUGUUCCCAGCUAUCCACCCGAUCUUACCCCUGAAAUGGGAGGCUUAUUGGGCCAACGCUGAUGAGCUGCCCUCACCUAUGCAGAUCUAAGGAUAAUCUCGUAUGAACAGGAGUUCAUAGUUAACUCAGGAUUAAGACUAAGUUACCUAGGUCAUCAAUAAUUGAGAUAGUCAGUUUUAAACAGUAAACGGUGUUAUAACGUAAAAAUGACUAAUUCAUGGUUCAGUCUUAUGUAAACAUUUUACAUAGGAUGCCCCCACUUUCAUGUCUCUACAUGAACGAUUAGGAUCACAUCGUUUGUACUACAAAGUGGGCCGCAUCCAUAGUCUCUCAAAAUAAGGCGCCCAACCUUUAUUUCAUAUACUAUAGACUAUUUAGGCUAUAUACUCGAACUUGAUCCACGUUUAUGUUUACACAUAAAGUUCAAGUUUAUUCAAAAAAUAGCCUUGGAACUUUGAUUUAUUGGAUUUAAGAUUAUAAUAUUUAAUUUCUCAAUAACAACUUUAUUGAAUAGAAUAUGAUUUACAAACUACGAGUUUUAGGACAAAAAAUUCCAACAAACUCCCACUUGGACUAAAAUUCCUAGUGGUAUGAGAGAUGUGGUGUGAGAGAAUAUAUAUGAAACUAGGGCACAUGGCCAAUAAGUCUCCCACUUGUCCUAGUUUACAAACAUCGUACACCUAAACUGUGUAGGUGACCCUCAAACACUUUAGCCAUGAGGGCUUUUGUAAAAUGAUCAGCUUCCAUUGUGGAAUCAGCUAUACAAGUUUGCUUUAUGCUUCUCCAAACUACUGCUCCUCCAUUUAGAGUAAAUACUGAUUCUGAUGUAGACUUUCUAACAUCUUUAUUAGUUUGGAAAUCUGAAUCAGUGUAUCCAGUAAGGAUCAUAUCCUUUGUACGAUACAUGAGCAUGUAGAAUGUUUUUAACGGCUGUCCAGUGAUCACGUCCAUGAUUGGAUUGAUACCUACUGACCAUCCCUACUGAGUAGCAAAUGUCAGGUCUAGUACAUAACAUAUGCAUACAUUAAACUUCCAACAGCGGAAGCAUAGGGAAUAUUUCUCAUAUCCUCAACUUCUUGAGGUGUCUUAGGACAUUGUUCCUUUGACAAAUGAAUUCCAUAUCUGUACGGCAGCAGACCCUUUUUGGAAUUCUGCAUUUUAUAUCUAGACAACAUUUUGUCUAUGUAAGAUGCUUGAGACAUGGCUAGUGUUUUGUUCUUACGGUUUCGAACAAUUUGGAUUCCGAGAACGUAUUGUGCAUCUCCCAGAUCUUUCAUUUGAAAUUGCAUAGCUAGCCAUUUCUUGAUAUCAGGAAGAUAUCCUAGUCAUUUCCAAUAAGUAGAAUAUCAUCUACAUAUAAGACUAAAAAAUGCUAUAAUGGAAUUGACGACCUUUUGUAAACACAAGGCUCGUCAACAUUUUGUUCAAAGCCAUAAGAUUUUGAUCGCAAUAUCAAAUCUUAUAUUCCAGGAUCUAGAAGCUUGUUUUAAUCCAUAAAUGGAUUUUUUAAGCUUACAAACCUUUUGUUCUUGAUCUUGUUUUAUAAACCCCUCUGGUUGAGACAUAUAGAUACUCUUCAAGAUUACCGUUCAAAAAAGCUGUCUUGACAUCCAUCUGCCAAAUUUCAUAAUCAUAAAAAGUGGCGAUGGAUAAGAGUAUUCUAAUUGACUUUAACAUGGCAACGGGAGAGAAAGUUUCCUCUAGUCUACUCCCUCUCUCUAGGUAUAACCCUUUGCCACAAGUCGAGCCUUAAAAGUCUGUACUUUACCGGCAUGGUCUCGUUUUCUCUUGUAGAUCCAUUUACAACCAAUAGGUUUUACGUCAUUUGGUUGAUCUACUAGAGUCUAGAAAGAAUUAAAGUACAUAGACUCCAUUUCGAGGUCCAUGGCUUUGAUCCAUUGGUCACGAUCUACAUCUUUCAUUGCCUGUUUAUAGGUUAAUGGAUCCUCUAUGCCAUCGUCAGGUAUGACGACUUGAGUUUCAAUUAAACCCAAAUAGCGAUCAGGCUGAUGAACAACCCUCCCACUACGUCGAGGCUCUCUCAACUGUUGAGAAGGAUGUGAUUGACCAGAUUUCCUAGUCUUAUCAACUACUUUAGUGGAUGAACUAGGUUUUAUCUAUAGCACUUUUGGAAAUUUCUUUAAAUACUAGUUUACUACGAGGUUGAUGAUCCCUGAUGUGGUAUUUUAUUUUCUUGAGGAUCAUAAAACAAACCACCUCUUGAUUCUUUUGGAUAACCUAUAAAAAAGCAUAAUUUUGAACGAUGUUCCAAUUUCUUUGGAUUUUGUACCAACACAUGUGCUGGACAACCCCAAAUUUUAAAAUGACGUAAACUGCCUUUACGCCCUUUCCAUAGCUCAUAAGGUGUUUCUGAAACACUUUUAGAGGGAACAUUAUUCAAAAUAUAAGCAGCUGUUUCUAAAGCAUAUCCCCAAAAAGAAUCUGACAUCUGAGAAAAACUCAUCAUAGAGCGAACCAUGUCUAACAAGGUCCAGUUUCUUCUUUCUGAUACACCGUUCUGUUGAGGUGUACUAGGUGCAGAGAGUUGUGACUGGAUUCCAUUUUCUAUUAAAUAGUCUCGGAAUCGUAAGUCCAUAUACUCUCCACCUCGAUCUGAUCGAAGUAUUUUUAUUGUUUUACCUAAUUCGUUUUCUACUUCAGCCUUAUAUUCUUUGAACUUUUCAAGACUAUUAGACUUAUGAUGUAUUAGGUAAAUAUGACCAUACCUUGAAUAAUCAUCAAUGAAGCUAAUGAAAUAUUCAUAUCCACCUCGAGUUUUGACAUUCAUUGGUCCACAAAGGUCCGAAUGUACGAGCUCUAAGGGUCCUUUGGCUCUUAGACCUUUUCCAGUAAAAGAUCUCUUGGUCAUUUUUCCUUCAAGACAAGAUUCACAAGGAGGUAAAGAGUUAUCUUCUAACGGACUUAGAAGCCCACUUUUAACCAAUCUCCCAAUCCUAUUGAGAUUUAUGUGACCAAGUCUUAAGUGCCAUAAAUAGGCAUUAGAAGAAACUUUUUGUCUUUUAUUCUGAGUUUCAGCUGUUCUGAAUAUUUCAGUAUUUAAGACAAAAUUUGCUCUAGUUGGUCUUAACUUAUAUAAGUUGUCUUCAAGUAUAGCAGAACAAACUAGAAUACCUUUAUAGAAAACGAACGCUUCAUUAAUUUCAAAAGAUAUUCUAUACAUUUGUUCCAAAAUACAAGAGAUAGAUAUUAAAUUUCUUUUCAUUUGAGGUACAUAUAAGACAUUCUUAAGUAUGACAUAUCUAUCUCUAAAAAACAACUUUAAAUCUCCCACUGCUGAAGCUGAGACCAUCUCUCCUGUUCCAACCUUGAGAGUGAUCUCGCCUUCUGAAAGCUUUUUCCAAGAACUAUUUUCCUGAAAUGAGAAGCAAAUAUGGUUAGUGGCUCCUGAAUCUAGUAUCCAGGUAGAAUUUUCAUAUUCCACUAAACAUGUUUCUACAACUAGUAAAUCAUAUUUACCUUGUGUUUCCUUCUCUGCCUUUUUUUCUGCAAGGUAUUUUGGGCAGUUUCUUAACCAGUGCCCGUUUUGGCCACAAUGGUAACACUUACCUUUUUCUGCAGCUUUCUUACCCUUGUUCUGUUUGGGAGUCUUUCCCUUUCCCUUCUUUUUUAUUUGAGCAUUAGGUUUUGAGGGUCCAGCUUUGGUUUUAGAGGACGAUCCUCUUAUAAAUUUUCUUUUUGUGGUAGCAACAUUUGCUUCCACUUGUUUUCCUUUACCCAUAGUUAGGUUUUGGAAUCGCUGGAGUUCAUUCAGAAGGGUUGUCAAGUUAAAUUCUAUCUUGUUCAAAGACGCAUUCGUUUGGAAUGGAAUGAAGCUCUUCGGAAGAGACUCUAAGAUAAAACUAACUUGAUUAACCUCUUCGAUGGGACCACCAUUCACUUCAGCGAUGUUGAAGUGCAUCAUCAUGUCCAGAACAUGUUCUCUAACAGAGGUCCCUUCCUUCAUACGCUUAGUGUAAAUGUAUUUGACUGCCUCGUGUCUUAAGGACCAUUCUGGUUGCCCAAACAUUCCCCUUAAUGAAUCCAUAAUCUCUUUAGCCGUGGCUAAGGAUUCAUGUUUCUUUGCCAAUACAUCAGACAUGCUGGCAAGAAUGUAAACACGGGCUUUUUCAUUAGCUUUUAUCCAUCGAUCAUAUGCAUCCCGACUAGUUCGGUUAGCAUUAGAGGCAGGGUUUUGAGGACAUUCCUCAGUUAAGACAAAUCUUAAAUCGUCAACCACUAGUAUUGUGUUAAGAUUUGAUUUCCAAGCCGCAUAAUUAUCGCCAUUAAGUUUUUCGGAAGCUAAAAGUUGAACUAUUGAGCUAUUCAUGCUGAAAAACAAACAUAUUCUUUUUAGGAAAAAACUAUAAUCAUAAAAAAUAUCCAAUCUAAUUUAGCAAUUACUAAUAAUGUACCCUUUCAUUAUUUGUAUUUUGCAACAAUAUUUCAAAGGUUUAGAACAACCUUCUCCGAAGGGUAGUUGAUUAUUCCUCCUUUGAACCAAGACAAUCUUGACUAGAUGCUAUCUCAAGAAUAACUCUUUAUUCUUUAUAGCACUUAGUUAUCGCUACUUUAGUCAAGAAUAUACUAACAACUUAGUAAUUCUUGUAAGUGUUACCCACCAUUUUCAGAUUUUAUAGAUUAGAAUCAUUUAUGAAAACUAAUCUAAGAAAUCCUAUCCAGUUUUGGAGUUCGCGGUGUUCCGAAUCCUAUAAUACAACCCUCCGAAGGGAACGUCGCUCCAGGGCAGACAAGCAGGCAUAUUAUAGAAAUCUCACGGUGCGACCUAAUGGAAGAGACCGUGGGAUGUGCUGUCACAAAUCCCUCACCCACUUACUAUGAACUACUUCCCCUAUUCACCUUGAUUUUGAUCCAUGCAAACACUCUCCGAAGGGAGGCCGCUCCUAUGCACGGCACAAAGCCCUGCAUGGACCUCACGGUGUGUGAACUCUUAGGGACACUAGAGCUAAAAUACAUUAUUUUUCUCUAGUUGAAGUGUUCUAGAAAAAAAUAGGGUAAUCCAAACUUCAAGAUUUAUAUUUAGGCUAACUUAAACAAAUCUUAAGUCUAGAUAAAACAUCCAAGUAUAACCAUUAUACAGGAUUUUAACCUAUGAUGUCUAGGUGAAAAACCAUUUUUAUUACCUCACACCUCUCACGAAUGCUCAUAAAACUAGGUUAACUAGGCUCAAGAACUGAUUACGAUCUCCAGGUAGGAGGUGUUCCGUAAACCGUCAACUUAAGAACCUCCAACCUUAGUCAUCUUAUCUGACUUGUUGACAAGAUUGAACCAGGUGAGCCUUUUGUAACCAGUUUUACAAGAUAUCGACCUAUUUCUAUGAAAAAUGGAAGAUAUGUUUAACCUAAGUGAGCAUGCAUUUAAUCUUUGUUAUUGAUUUUAAAAGUCUAAUUUAUUUUAUAACACUUAUAAAAAUUUUAAACUUAAUCAAUCAUUUUAUCAAUAUAUAAUAAAAACAAUCAAUUAAUAUGGAUUUUAAUUUAUUUAACUUUAAUUAAAUCAUAUUUAAUUAAAUUAAAUCAAACAAUAAUUAAUUAAUUUGAUUAAAUCAUAUUUAAUCAAGAAUAACUUAAUUAAUUAAAUAAUUAAUUAAUCAUAUUAAUUAAUUUCCAUAUUAAUCAAUUAACAUGCAUACAAUACAAUAUAACCUUUAUAUCAUACAUUUUAAUGCAUGAACAUGUUAACCUAUGGUGGGAUUUUAAAUCUAUAUGACAUUCAAAAUGCACAUACAAAUUUAAAGUAAUUUAAUCAUACAUCACAUGCAUAAAUAAAAAAAACACCCUAAAAUGGACUGAUUUUUGGCUCCUAAAUUAAGCUAAGUGCUAAAUUAUUACAUAAUUAAUUUGGUGUAGUACAGAACCACUCCCAAAAAUUUCGAACCGGCUAAAAAACCAACCGAACCGCUUGAACCGGCCCAAAAACCAAAUUUAUUGGCUUGAACCGGCCCAGGCGCACACGGGUCGUGCGAAGGCAGGCGCGCGGGCGAAGGCGGCGCGCGGGCGCAUGCGGGCGCGGCGCAGCGGCGCGCGGGCGCAUGCAGGCGCGCGGGCGCAGGAGGCGCGCGGGCGCAGGAGGGCGCGCGCGCGGCGGCGCAGGAGGGCGCGCGGCGCAGGAGGGCGGCGGGCGCGUGCGGACGCAGGAGGCGCGGGCGCAGGAGGGCGCGGGCAUGCGGGCGCGUGCGGGUCGCGAAGCGGGUCAAAACCGGGUUUUCGGGUCUGUGACCUUCUUUUCUUCAUUUUUUCAAUUCCUCUCACCCGGUUGAACUAAUUACAGCCUAGCUUCAACUCUAAUGACUUUUUUUUUUUUUAAAAAUUACAAACACUUUGCAACAAUAAAAAUAAGCCAUUAACAAGGCUAAUUACAAUAAUUAGAACAAAAAACACUUAAUCUAGAGCCAAAAUCAUAAAUAUCCAUUUUAGUUCAAACCAAAAUUUAUCUAAUAAAUAUGAACCACAUGCAAUUGGUAAAAAUGAAGCAUGCUCUGAUACCACAUGAUAGAACUAAGUCAUGCACAGCGGAAAAAGAAUCGAAUUUCUACCCUAAUUGCCACAAUUAACAUCUAACCAUAAACUAAUCAAAUUAGGGUUUUAAGAAGUAUUACCUUUGAAGCUUUCAAAAAGGUUUGAUGUCUUCUUACCAAUUCUACCCGAGACCACCACUAGUACUCAACUGCUAUCCUCUAGACAAAGAACCGGGUUGUGGACCCAAUUUUGGUGUAGAAAGUAAUGGAGAUAAAAUGAGAUUGGAAGCUUUCUUUUUUUCUUUUGUUGAGAUUAUGAAAAUGAUAAAAGAGGCAAAAGUCCUUCAACAUUUGAAAACAUCUCUAUUUAUAGCCUAAUUACAUGCAAAAAUGCAUGCAAUUCAAUUGCCAAAUCUCAACACCUAAUAUUCCACUAACAAUUAGUGGAACUUAGUGGCUAGGUGUCUAUAUCUCAUAUAGCCACAUAUCCCACUAAGAGUUAGUGGGAUUAUCCAACAAAGUUGGAUUUUCCCACUAACUUAGUCCAAGGGUAAAAUGGUCAUUAGAUUUUUCUAGUCAAAAGUCAAACUUUGACUUUUCUAAGUCAAAAGUCAAUAUUUUGACUUUUUACCAUUUUGUCCGUCUUGACUAAUUCCAACCUCCCGAGCAUGAAUCCGCAUUCAUUUUUCCAAAAUUCAAAUCACAUUUGAAUAUAAGGCCGGUCAAAGUUUGACUUUUCAAAGUCAAAAGUCAACAUUUUGACUUUUUACUAUUUUUGACCAAUUCCGAGCUUCUUAGUAUGAAUCCGCAUUCAUACUUAUAGUAUGUAAACAUAAAGCUCUAUUUCUAAUUAGAAGACCGACGAUUAUAUCACUGUAUAUGUCGGUUUUCCUUUCUUCUCCCUAUUCGAACAAUUCGACUUAUUUCAUCACACUGUUCUAAGUUUAAUCCAUAUGACUAGCAGAGGAACCUAAUGGACCUAUAGAUCAUGGCUCCAACGAUUCAAGAUUAACUAGCUAAACUCUUUUAAACCGAGUUAAUCAACAUUCGUUAACUAACGGGUCAUUCCACUAAAGUCCCGUAGUUGCACUCCCCUCACUAUAGAUAUAUUUGUGUCCAUUUGAUAAAACCAUAAUCAGUAAGUUAAUCCUUCACAGGUUGCUCGUAACCUUGGCUGGGUCAAAAUACCGUUUUACCCCCAAGAUUACAUCUUGCUCCUUAAGUCCCACUAAUCCACUAUUGAACAAUUGGUUUAAGGUUCAACCUAUAAACUUAAUCCCUCUCGGGCCAAUGAGAGGGUGGGGCCCCUUGUUCAAGACUUGGAUUCAGUGCUUAAGAGAGCAACCUAUCUACUAACCCUAAAGCGGGUAGGAGUGAAUUCCAUCUUGUACCCUGUUCCCAGCUAUCCACCCGAUCUUACCCCUGAAAUGGGAGGCUUUUGGGCCAACGCUGAUGAGCUGCCCUCACCUAUGCAGAUCUAAGGAUAAUCUCGUAUGAACAGGAGUUCAUAGUUAACUCAGGAUUAAGACUAAGUUACCUAGGUCAUCAAUAAUUGAGAUAGUCAGUUUUAAACAGUAAACGGUGUUAUAACGUAAAAAUGACUAAUUCAUGGUUCAGUCUUAUGUAAACAUUUUACAUAGGAUGCCCCCACUUUCAUGUCUCUACAUGAACGAUUAGGAUCACAUCGUUUGUACUACAAAGUGGGCCGCAUCCAUAGUUCUCAAAAUAAGGCGCCCAACCUUUAUUUCAUAUACUAUAGACUAUUUAGGCUAUAUACUCGAACUUGAUCCACGUUUAUGUUUACACAUAAAGUUCAAGUUUAUUCAAAAAAUAGCCUUGGAACUUUGAUUUAUUGGAUUUAAGAUUAUAAUAUUUAAUUUCUCAAUAACAACUUUAUUGAAUAGAAUAUGAUUUACAAACUACGAGUUUUAGGACAAAAAAUUCCAACACGAUAUCUGAGUGGAGUGUCUCAAAGUUUCUUGCCACAAAAGCCGAACGGUGACGCCCCAGACUCGGUUUCUUGGUUCCGUCCCAAAACGCCGAAGAAAGGCACAAUGGCCUAGAAAGGGACGGUCGGACUUGGAACGGGGUCCGAGGCCUCGAAAGUCCACAUCUAGCUACUGGGUGGUCCGAUUUUGAGUGAUCUCGAAGUUUCUUGCCCACAAAAGCCGAACGGUGACGCCCCAGACUCGGUUUCUUGGUUCCGUCCCAAAACGCCGAAGAAAGGCACAAUGGCCUAGAAAGGGACGGUCGGACUUGGAACGGGGUCCGAGGCCUCGAAAGUCCACAUCUAGCUACUGGGUGGUCCGAUUCUGAGUGAUCUCGAAGUUUCUUGCCCACAAAAGCCGAACGGUGACGCCCCAGACUCGGUUUCUUGGUUCCGUCCCAAAACGCCGAAGAAAGGCACAAUGGCCUAGAAAGGGACGGUCGGACUUGGAACGGGGUCCGAGGCCUCGAAAGUCCACAUCUAGCUACUGGGUGGUCCGAUUCUGAGUGAUCUCGAAGUUUCUUGCCCACAAAAGCCGAACGGUGACGCCCAGACUCGGUUUCUUGGUUCCGUCCCAAAACGCCGAAGAAAGGCACAAUGGCCUAGAAAGGGACGGUCGGACUUGGAACGGGGUCCGAGGCCUCGAAAGUCCACAUCUAGCUACUGGGUGGUCCGAUUCUGUGAUCUCGAAGUUUCUUGCCCACAAAAGCCGAACGGUGACGCCCCAGACUCGGUUUCUUGGUUCCGUCCCAAAACGCCGAAGAAAGGCACAAUGGCCUAGAAAGGGACGGUCGGACUUGGAACGGGGUCCGAGGCCUCGAAAGUCCACAUCUAGCUACUGGGUGGUCCGAUUCUGAGUGAUCUCGAAGUUUCUUGCCCACAAAAGCCGAACGGUGACGCCCCAGACUCGGUUUCUUGGUUCCGUCCCAAAACGCCGAAGAAAGGCACAAUGGCCUAGAAAGGGACGGUCGGACUUGGAACGGGGUCCGAGGCCUCGAAAGUCCACAUCUAGCUACUGGGUGGUCCGAUUCUGAGUGAUCUCGAAGUUUCUUGCCCACAAAAGCCGAACGGUGACGCCCCAGACUCGGUUUCUUGGUUCCGUCCCAAAACGCCGAAGAAAGGCACAAUGGCCUAGAAAGGGACGGUCGGACUUGGAACGGGGUCCGAGGCCUCGAAAGUCCACAUCUAGCUACUGGGUGGUCCGAUUCUGAGUGAUCUCGAAGUUUCUUGCCCACAAAAGCCGAACGGUGACGCCCCAGACUCGGUUUCUUGGUUCCGUCCCAAAACGCCGAAGAAAGGCACAAUGGCCUAGAAAGGGACGGUCGGACUUGGAACGGGGUCCGAGGCCUCGAAAGUCCACAUCUAGCUACUGGGUGGUCCGAUUCUGAGUGAUCUCGAAGUUUCUUGCCCACAAAAGCCGAACGGUGACCCCAGACUCGGUUUCUUGGUUCCGUCCCAAAACGCCGAAGAAAGGCACAAUGGCCUAGAAAGGGACGGUCGGACUUGGAACGGGGUCCGGCCUCGAAAGUCCACAUCUAGCUACUGGGUGGUCCGAUUCUGAGUGAUCUCGAAGUUUCUUGCCCACAAAAGCCGAACGGUGACGCCCCAGACUCGGUUUCUUGGUUCCGUCCCAAAACGCCGAAGAAAGGCACAAUGGCCUAGAAAGGGACGGUCGGACUUGGAACGGGGUCCGAGGCCUCGAAAGUCCACAUCUAGCUACUGGGUGGUCCGAUUCUGAGUGAUCUCGAAGUUUCUUGCCCACAAAAGCCGAACGGUGACGCCCCAGACUCGGUUUCUUGGUUCCGUCCCAAAACGCCGAAGAAAGGCACAAUGGCCUAGAAAGGGACGGUCGGACUUGGAACGGGGUCCGAGGCCUCGAAAGUCCACAUCUAGCUACUGGGUGGUCCGAUUCUGAGUGAUCUCGAAGUUUCUUGCCCACAAAAGCCGAACGGUGACGCCCCAGACUCGGUUUCUUGGUUCCGUCCCAAAACGCCGAAGAAAGGCACAAUGGCCUAGAAAGGGACGGUCGGACUUGGAACGGGGUCCGAGGCCUCGAAAGUCCACAUCUAGCUACUGGGUGGUCCGAUUCUGAGUGAUCUCGAAGUUUCUUGCCCACAAAAGCCGAACGGUGACGCCCCAGACUCGGUUUCUUGGUUCCGUCCCAAAACGCCGAAGAAAGGCACAAUGGCCUAGAAAGGGACGGUCGGACUUGGAACGGGGUCCGAGGCCUCGAAAGUCCACAUCUAGCUACUGGGUGGUCCGAUUCUGAGUGAUCUCGAAGUUUCUUGCCCACAAAAGCCGAACGGUGACGCCCCAGACUCGGUUUCUUGGUUCCGUCCCAAAACGCCGAAGAAAGGCACAAUGGCCUAGAAAGGGACGGUCGGACUUGGAACGGGGUCCGAGGCCUCGAAAGUCCACAUCUAGCUACUGGGUGGUCCGAUUCUGAGUGAUCUCGAAGUUUCUUGCCCACAAAAGCCGAACGGUGACGCCCAGACUCGGUUUCUUGGUUCCGUCCCAAAACGCCGAAGAAAGGCACAAUGGCCUAGAAAGGGACGGUCGGACUUGGAACGGGGUCCGAGGCCUCGAAAGUCCACAUCUAGCUACUGGGUGGUCCGAUUCUGAGUGAUCUCGAAGUUUCUUGCCCACAAAAGCCGAACGGUGACGCCCCAGACUCGGUUUCUUGGUUCCGUCCCAAAACGCCGAAGAAAGGCACAAUGGCCUAGAAAGGGACGGUCGGACUUGGAACGGGGUCCGAGGCCUCGAAAGUCCACAUCUAGCUACUGGGUGGUCCGAUUCUGAGUGAUCUCGAAGUUUCUUGCCCACAAAAGCCGAACGGUGACGCCCCAGACUCGGUUUCUUGGUUCCGUCCCAAAACGCCGAAGAAAGGCACAAUGGCCUAGAAAGGGACGGUCGGACUUGGAACGGGGUCCGAGGCCUCGAAAGUCCACAUCUAGCUACUGGGUGGUCCGAUUCUGAGUGAUCUCGAAGUUUCUUGCCCACAAAAGCCGAACGGUGACGCCCCAGACUCGGUUUCUUGGUUCCGUCCCAAAACGCCGAAGAAAGGCACAAUGGCCUAGAAAGGGACGGUCGGACUUGGAACGGGGUCCGAGGCCUCGAAAGUCCACAUCUAGCUACUGGUGGUCCGAUUCUGAGUGAUCUCGAAGUUUCUUGCCCACAAAAGCCGAACGGUGACGCCCCAGACUCGGUUUCUUGGUUCCGUCCCAAAACGCCGAAGAAAGGCACAAUGGCCUAGAAAGGGACGGUCGGACUUGGAACGGGGUCCGAGGCCUCGAAAGUCCACAUCUAGCUACUGGGUGGUCCGAUUCUGAGUGAUCUCGAAGUUUCUUGCCCACAAAAGCCGAACGGUGACGCCCCAGACUCGGUUUCUUGGUUCCGUCCCAAAACGCCGAAGAAAGGCACAAUGGCCUAGAAAGGGACGGUCGGACUUGGAACGGGGUCCGAGGCCUCGAAAGUCCACAUCUAGCUACUGGGUGGUCCGAUUCUGAGUGAUCUCGAAGUUUCUUGCCCACAAAAGCCGAACGGUGACCCCCAGACUCGGUUUCUUGGUUCCGUCCCAAAACGCCGAAGAAAGGCACAAUGGCCUAGAAAGGGACGGUCGGACUUGGAACGGGGUCCGGCCUCGAAAGUCCACAUCUAGCUACUGGGUGGUCCGAUUCUGUGAUCUCGAAGUUUCUUGCCCACAAAAGCCGAACGGUGACGCCCCAGACUCGGUUUCUUGGUUCCGUCCCAAAACGCCGAAGAAAGGCACAAUGGCCUAGAAAGGGACGGUCGGACUUGGAACGGGGUCCGAGGCCUCGAAAGUCCACAUCUAGCUACUGGGUGGUCCGAUUCUGAGUGAUCUCGAAGUUUCUUGCCCACAAAAGCCGAACGGUGACGCCCCAGACUCGGUUUCUUGGUUCCGUCCCAAAACGCCGAAGAAAGGCACAAUGGCCUAGAAAGGGACGGUCGGACUUGGAACGGGGUCCGAGGCCUCGAAAGUCCACAUCUAGCUACUGGGUGGUCCGAUUCUGUGAUCUCGAAGUUUCUUGCCCACAAAAGCCGAACGGUGACGCCCCAGACUCGGUUUCUUGGUUCCGUCCCAAAACGCCGAAGAAAGGCACAAUGGCCUAGAAAGGGACGGUCGGACUUGGAACGGGGUCCGAGGCCUCGAAAGUCCACAUCUAGCUACUGGGUGGUCCGAUUCUGAGUGAUCUCGAAGUUUCUUGCCCACAAAAGCCGAACGGUGACGCCCCAGACUCGGUUUCUUGGUUCCGUCCCAAAACGCCGAAGAAAGGCACAAUGGCCUAGAAAGGGACGGUCGGACUUGGAACGGGGUCCGAGGCCUCGAAAGUCCACAUCUAGCUACUGGGUGGUCCGAUUCUGAGUGAUCUCGAAGUUUCUUGCCCACAAAAGCCGAACGGUGACGCCCCAGACUCGGUUUCUUGGUUCCGUCCCAAAACGCCGAAGAAAGGCACAAUGGCCUAGAAAGGGACGGUCGGACUUGGAACGGGGUCCGAGGCCUCGAAAGUCCACAUCUAGCUACUGGGUGGUCCGAUUCUGUGAUCUCGAAGUUUCUUGCCCACAAAAGCCGAACGGUGACGCCCCAGACUCGGUUUCUUGGUUCCGUCCCAAAACGCCGAAGAAAGGCACAAUGGCCUAGAAAGGGACGGUCGGACUUGGAACGGGGUCCGAGGCCUCGAAAGUCCACAUCUAGCUACUGGGUGGUCCGAUUCUGAGUGAUCUCGAAGUUUCUUGCCCACAAAAGCCGAACGGUGACGCCCCAGACUCGGUUUCUUGGUUCCGUCCCAAAACGCCGAAGAAAGGCACAAUGGCCUAGAAAGGGACGGUCGGACUUGGAACGGGGUCCGAGGCCUCGAAAGUCCACAUCUAGCUACUGGGUGGUCCGAUUCUGAGUGAUCUCGAAGUUUCUUGCCCACAAAAGCCGAACGGUGACGCCCCAGACUCGGUUUCUUGGUUCCGUCCCAAAACGCCGAAGAAAGGCACAAUGGCCUAGAAAGGGACGGUCGGACUUGGAACGGGGUCCGAGGCCUCGAAAGUCCACAUCUAGCUACUGGGUGGUCCGAUUCUGAGUGAUCUCGAAGUUUCUUGCCCACAAAAGCCGAACGGUGACGCCCCAGACUCGGUUUCUUGGUUCCGUCCCAAAACGCCGAAGAAAGGCACAAUGGCCUAGAAAGGGACGGUCGGACUUGGAACGGGGUCCGAGGCCUCGAAAGUCCACAUCUAGCUACUGGGUGGUCCGAUUCUGUGAUCUCGAAGUUUCUUGCCCACAAAAGCCGAACGGUGACGCCCCAGACUCGGUUUCUUGGUUCCGUCCCAAAACGCCGAAGAAAGGCACAAUGGCCUAGAAAGGGACGGUCGGACUUGGAACGGGGUCCGAGGCCUCGAAAGUCCACAUCUAGCUACUGGGUGGUCCGAUUCUGAGUGAUCUCGAAGUUUCUUGCCCACAAAAGCCGAACGGUGACGCCCCAGACUCGGUUUCUUGGUUCCGUCCCAAAACGCCGAAGAAAGGCACAAUGGCCUAGAAAGGGACGGUCGGACUUGGAACGGGGUCCGAGGCCUCGAAAGUCCACAUCUAGCUACUGGGUGGUCCGAUUCUGAGUGAUCUCGAAGUUUCUUGCCCACAAAAGCCGAACGGUGACGCCCCAGACUCGGUUUCUUGGUUCCGUCCCAAAACGCCGAAGAAAGGCACAAUGGCCUAGAAAGGGACGGUCGGACUUGGAACGGGGUCCGAGGCCUCGAAAGUCCACAUCUAGCUACUGGGUGGUCCGAUUCUUGUGAUCUCGAAGUUUCUUGCCCACAAAAGCCGAACGGUGACGCCCCAGACUCGGUUUCUUGGUUCCGUCCCAAAACGCCGAAGAAAGGCACAAUGGCCUAGAAAGGGACGGUCGGACUUGGAACGGGGUCCGAGGCCUCGAAAGUCCACAUCUAGCUACUGGGUGGUCCGAUUCUGAGUGAUCUCGAAGUUUCUUGCCCACAAAAGCCGAACGGUGACGCCCCAGACUCGGUUUCUUGGUUCCGUCCCAAAACGCCGAAGAAAGGCACAAUGGCCUAGAAAGGGACGGUCGGACUUGGAACGGGGUCCGAGGCCUCGAAAGUCCACAUCUAGCUACUGGGUGGUCCGAUUCUGAGUGAUCUCGAAGUUUCUUGCCCACAAAAGCCGAACGGUGACGCCCCAGACUCGGUUUCUUGGUUCCGUCCCAAAACGCCGAAGAAAGGCACAAUGGCCUAGAAAGGGACGGUCGGACUUGGAACGGGGUCCGAGGCCUCGAAAGUCCACAUCUAGCUACUGGGUGGUCCGAUUCUGAGUGAUCUCGAAGUUUCUUGCCCACAAAAGCCGAACGGUGACGCCCAGACUCGGUUUCUUGGUUCCGUCCCAAAACGCCGAAGAAAGGCACAAUGGCCUAGAAAGGGACGGUCGGACUUGGAACGGGGUCCGAGGCCUCGAAAGUCCACAUCUAGCUACUGGGUGGUCCGAUUCUGAGUGAUCUCGAAGUUUCUUGCCCACAAAAGCCGAACGGUGACGCCCAGACUCGGUUUCUUGGUUUGUCCCAAAACGCCGAAGAAAGGCACAAUGGCCUAGAAAGGGACGGUCGGACUUGGAACGGGGUCCGAGGCCUCGAAAGUCCACAUCUAGCUACUGGGUGGUCCGAUUCUGAGUGAUCUCGAAGUUUCUUGCCCACAAAAAGCCAAACGGUGACGCCCUAGACUCGGUUUGUUGGUUCCGUCCCAAAACGUCGAAGAAAGCACAAUGGCCUAGAAAGGGACAGUCGGACUUUGGAACGGUGUCCGAGGCGUCGAAAGUCCACAUCUAGCUACUCGGUGGUCCGAUUCUGAGUGAUCUCGAAGUUUCUUGCCCACAAAAGGCGAACGGUGACGCCCCAGACUCGGUUUCUUGGUUCCAUCCGAAAACGCCGGAAGAAAGGCACAAUGGCCUAGAAAGGGACGGUCGGACUUGGAACGCGGUGCGAGGCCUCAAAAGUCCACAUCUAGCUACUGGGUGGUCCGAUUCUGAGUGAUCUCGAACUUUCUUGCCCACAAAAGGCGAACGGUGACGCCCAGACUCGGUUUCUUGGUUCCGUCCCAAAACGUCGAAGAAAGGCACAAUGGCCUAGAAAGGGACGGUCGGACUUGGAACGGUGUCCGAGGCCUCGAAAGUCCACAUCUAGCUACUGGGUGGUUCGAUUCUGAGUGAUCUCGAAGUUUCUUGCCCACAAAAGGCGAACGGUGACGCCCAGACUCGGUUUCUUGGUUCCGUCCGAAAACGCCGAAGAAAGGCACAAUGGCCUAGAAAGGGACGGUCGGACUUGGAACGCGGUCCGAGGCCUCGAAAGUCCACAUCUAGCUACUGGGUGGUCCGAUUCUGAGUGAUCUCGAACUUUCUUGCCCACAAAAGCCGAACGGUGUCGCCCCAGACUCGGUUUCUUGGUUCCGUCCCAAAACGCCGAAGAAAGGCACAAUGGCCUAGAAAGGGACGGUCGGACUUGGAACGGGGUCCGAGGCCUCGAAAGUCCACAUCUAGCUACUGGGUGGUCCGAUUCUGAGUGAUCUCGAAGUUUCUUGCCCACAAAAGCGAACGGUGACGCCCAGACUCGGUUUCUUGGUUCCGUCCCAAAACGCCGAAGAAAGGCCCAAUGGCCUAGAAAGGGACGGUCGGACUUGGAACGGGGUCCGAGGCCUCGAAAGUCCACAUCUAGCUACUGGGUUGUCCGAUUCUGAGUGAUCUCGAAGUUUCUUGCCCACAAAAGCCGAACGGUGACGCCCCAGACUCGGUUUCUUGGUUUUGUCCCAUAACGGCGAAGAAAGGCACAAUGGCCUAGAAAGGGACGGUCGGACUUGGAACGGGGUCCGAGGCCUCGAAAGUCCACAUCUAGCUACUGGGUGGUCCGAUUCUGAGUGAUCUCGAAGUUUCUUGCCCACAAAAGCCAAACGGUGACGCCCUAGACUCGGUUUGUUGGUUCCGUCCCAAAACGUCGAAGAAAGGCACAAUGGCCUAGAAAGGGACAGUCGGACUUGGAACGGUGUCCGAGGCCUCGAAAGUCCACAUCUAGCUACUCGGUGGUCCGAUUCUGAGUGAUCUCGAAGUUUCUUGCCCACAAAAGGCGAACGGUGACGCCUCAGACUCGGUUUCUUGGUUCCGUCCGAAAACGCCGAAGAAAGGCACAAUGGCCUAGAAAGGGACGGUCGGACUUGGAACGCGGUGCGAGGCCUCAAAAGUCCACAUCUAGCUACUGGGUGGUCCGAUUCUGAGUGAUCUCGAACUUUCUUGCCCACAAAAGCCGAACGGUGACGCCCCAGACUCAGUUUCUUGGUUCCGUCCCAAAACGCCGAAGAAAGGCACAAUGGCCUAGAAAGGGACGGUCGGACUUGGAACGGGGUCCGAGGCCUCGAAAGUCCACAUCUAGCUACUCGGUGGUCCGAUUCUGAGUGAUCUCGAAGGUUCUUGCCCACAAAAGGCGAACGGUGACGCCCAGACUCGGUUUCUUGGUUCCGUCCCAAAACGCCGAAGAAAGGCACAAUAGGGUAAUCCAAGCUUCAAGAUUUAUAUUUAGGCUAACUUAAACAAAUCUUAAGUCUAGAUAAAACAUCCAAGUAUAACCAUUAUACAGGAUUUUAACCUAUGAUGUCUAGGUGAAAAACCAUUUUUAUUACCUCACACUCUCACGAAUGCUCAUAAAACUAGGUUAACUAGGCUCAAGAACUGAUUACGAUCUUCAGUAGGAGGUGUUCCGUAAACCGUCAACUUAAGAACCUCCAACCUUAGUCAUCUUAUCUGACUUGUUGACAAGAUUGAACCAGGUGAGCCUUUUGUAACCAGUUUUACAAGAUAUCGACCUAUUUCUAUGAAAAAUGGAAGAUAUGUUUAACCUAAGUGAGCAUGCAUUUAAUCUUUGUUAUUGAUUUUAAAAAGUCUAAUUUAUUUUAUAACACUUAUAAAAACUUCUAUACUUAAUCAAUCAUUUUAUCAAUAUAUACUCUUAUAAAAACAAUCAAUUAAUAUGGAUUUUAAUUUAUUUAACUUUAAUUAAAUCAUAUUUAAUUAAAUUAAAUCAAACAAUAAUUAAUUAAUUUGAUUAAAUCAUAUUUAAUCAAGAAUAACUUAAUUAAUUAAUAAUUAAUUAAUCAUAUUAAUUAAUUUCCAUAUUAAUCAAUUAACAUGCAUACAAUACAAUAUAACCUUUAUAUCAUACAUUUUAAUGCAUGAACAUGUUAACCUAUGGUGGGAUUUUAAAUCUAUAUGACAUUCAAAAUGCACAUACAAAUUUAAAUAACUUAAUCAUACAUCACAUGCAUAAAUAAAAAAAACACCCUAAAAUUGACUGAUUUUUGGCUCCUAAAUUAAGCUAAGUGCUAAAUUAUUACAUAAUUAAUUUGGUGUAGUACAGAACCACUCCCAAAAACUUCGAACCGGCUAAAAAACCAACCGAAACCGCUUGAACCGGCCCAAAAACCAAAUUUAUUGGCUUGAACCGGCCCAGGCGCACACGGGUCGUGCGAAGGCAGGCGCGCGGGCGAAGGCGGGCGCGGGCGCAUGCGGGCGGCGGGCGGAUGCGGGCGCGCAGGCGCAUGCGGCGCGCGGCGCAGCGGCGCGCAGGCGCAUGCGGCGCGGCAGGCGGCGCGGGCGCAUGCGGCGCGCAGGCGGCAGGCGGGCGCGGGGCGCAGGAGGGCGCGCGGCAUGCGGGUCGCGAAGCGGGUCAAGGCCGGGUUUUCGGGUCUGUGACCUUCUUUUCUUCAUUUUUUUCAAUUCUCUCACCCGGUUGAACCAAUUACAGCCUAGCUUCAACUCUAAUGACUUUUUUAUUUUUUAAAAAUUACAAACACUUUGCAACAAUAAAAAUAAGCCAUUA